rnacentral:rRNA from 1 species
CCCUUAGAUGUCCUGGGCCGCACGUGUGCUACACUGAUGCAUUCAACGAGUUUUACCUUGGCCGAGAGGCCUGGGCAAUCUUUUAAACCUGCAUCGUGAUAGGGAUAGAUUAUUGCAAUUAUUAAUCUUGAACGAGGAAUUCCUAGUAAACGCAAAUCAUCAAUUUGCAUUGAUUACGUCCCUGCCCUUUGUACACACCGCCCGUCGCACCUACCGAUUGAAUGGUCCGGUGAAGCCUCGGGAUUGUGGCCAGUUCACUUUAUUGGGAGUUGGCUGUGAGAACUUGUCUAAACCUUAUCAUUUAGAGGAAGGUGAANUCGUAACA